UACGUAGGGGGCUAGCGUUGUCCGGCAUCAUUGGGCGUAAAGCGCGUGUAGGCGGCCCGGUAAGUCCGCUGUGAAAGUCGGGGGCUCAACCCUCGAAAGCCGGUGGAUACUGUCGGGCUAGAGUACGGAAGAGGCGAGUGGAAUUCCUGGUGUAGCGGUGAAAUGCGCAGAUAUCAGGAGGAACACCCAUUGCGAAGGCAGCUCGCUGGGACGUUACUGACGCUGAGACGCGAAAGCGUGGGGAGCAAACAGG
rnacentral:rRNA from 1 species